AUGGAAAUGAAGUUCUCCCAAAGUAUUUAUAUUUAACGAAAUAUUUAUAUUUAAACCGCUUAUUAUAGCUGAUGACUUCUGCAUG
rnacentral:ncRNA from 1 species